rnacentral:rRNA from 1 species
CGAUGGUCUCGAUAAUUCGGUUUAUCGAGUAAAGGCUCUGGCGCUUUGAGAGGGACCUGCGGCCCAUCAGCUAGUUGGUAGGGUAACGGCCUACCAAGGCGAAGACGGGUAGGGGGCGUGAGAGCGUGACCCCCCACACUGGCACUGGGACACGGGCCAGACUCCUACGGGAGGCAGCAGUGAGGAAUAUUGCGCAGUGAGCGAAAGCUAGACGCAGCAACGCCGCGUGGGUGAUGAAGGCCUUCGGGUCGUAAAACCCUUUUCUGGGGGAAGAGUAAGGACGGUACCCCAGGAAUAAGCCUCGGCUAACUAUGUGCCAGCAGCCGCGGUAAUACAUAGGAGGCAAGCGUUAUCCGGAUUUACUGGGCGUAAAGAGCGUUGAGGCGGCUUCGUAAGUUGGACGUGAAAGCUCCCGGCUUAACUGGGAGAGGCCGUUCAAUACUGCGGGGCUUGAGGGCAGCAGAGGGGGGUGGAAUUUCCGGUGUAGUGGUGAAAUGCGUAGAUAUCGGAAGGAACACCAGUGGCGAAGGCGGCCCCCUGGGCUGCUCCUGACGCUGAAGGCGAAAGCUAGGGGAGCGAACGGGAUUAGAAACCCCGGUAGUCCUAGCCGUAAACGAUGGAUACUAGGUGUAGGAGGUUACAAUUCCUUCUGUGCCGGAGCUAACGCGUUAAGUAUCCCGCCUGGGGAGUACGGUCGCAAGGCUAAAACUCAAAGGAAUUGACGGGGGCCCGCACAAGCAGCGGAGCGUGUGGUUUAAUUCGAUGCAACACGAAGAACCUUACCAGGGCUUGAC